AUUGAACGCUGGCGGCAUGCCUUACACAUGCAAGUCGAACGGCAGCACGGGUGCUUGCACCUGGUGGCGAGUGGCGAACGGGUGAGUAAUAUAUCGGAACGUACCUUAUCGUGGGGGAUAACGCAGCGAAAGCUGCGCUAAUACCGCAUACGCCCUGAGGGGGAAAGCGGGGGACCGUAAGGCCUCGCGCGAUUAGAGCGGCCGAUAUCUGAUUAGCUUGUUGGUGGGGUAAAAGCCCACCAAGGCGACGAUCAGUAGCUGGUCUGAGAGGACGAUCAGCCACACUGGGACUGAGACACGGCCCAGACUCCUACGGGAGGCAGCAGUGGGGAAUUUUGGACAAUGGGGGCAACCCUGAUCCAGCAAUGCCGCGUGAGUGAAGAAGGGCCUUCGGGUUGUAAAGCACUUUUGGCAGGAAAGAAAUCGCAUCAAUUAANACUUGGUGUGGAUGACGGUACCUGCAGAAUAAGCACCGGCUAAC
rnacentral:rRNA from 1 species